rnacentral:lncRNA from 1 species
CGGACACUAAACCCAGUGAGUGGUGUCCUUAUAAGAAGAGGAGAGGACACACAGAGAUACACAAACAAAGCCCAUUUGAAGAUGGAGGCAGAGACGAGAGCAACACAGGUGCAAACUGAGGAAUGCCAGGAUGGAUGGGAGCCACCAGAAGCCAGACCAGCCCAUGCGGAAUAUUGAGAGCCGGAGCCAAGCAGAUCGUUCUGUUCCAUGAGCUCGGGGAUAAGCACGUGACCCAGUCUAACCCAAAGACUCACAAGGAGACUGACACUGGGAUCCCCGGAAGGUUUUUGGACCCAUGCAGCCAAAAUAGGCCUGUUGGAUCUAUGAGUGAAUGAAUGGAUGGACGGAUGAAGAACUAAGCUCCAGUUCAAGCCAAUGAGGAUGUUCAGUGCCUGCCACACAUCCACUCCAUCCCUCCUGAUUCCCAGCCUCCUGCCACUUCUCUGCCUCCUCCCUGCUCCUAUAACACACAGGUUCCUGAUCUCCCAGUGCAGACUCAAACAUCCCGUCCCCCAGAGUCCAGCCUCCCCCAACAGCAACUUAGCACAAUGCUCUCACAAACAAAAACAAUUUUCUCUCUAAUAGAGAUCCUAGGGGCCAUUGUUAAGGUUGUACUUUUUUUUUUUUUUCACUCUACUACAAAAGUUAAAACUAUUUCAGCUGCCAUUUAGGGAGCCCUACCUAUCAUACACCAAACAUUGCUCUGGGCCAGUAUUGCAGAUGGCGAAACUGAGGCUUGAAGAAGUUAAGUAACUCGCCCAAGAUCACACAACUUGAUCAUGGGCAGAAGAUCCAAAACCCCAAUGCCCAGAAUCUAUUUUUCCAUUUGAAAGACAAGUCCUCAGGCCGGGCGGGGUGGCUCACGCCUGUAAUCCCAGCACUUUGGGAGGCCGAGGCGGGCGGAUCACCUGAGGUCGGGAGUUCAAGACCAGCCUGACCAACAUGGAGAAACCCCGUCUUUAAUUUUGUAUUUGUAAAAAAUACAAAAUUACCCAGGCAUGGUGGCGCAUGCCUGUAAUCCCAGCUACUCGGGAGGCUGAGGCAGGAGAAUCGCUUGAACCCGGGAGGCGGAGGUUGUGGUGAGUCGAGAUCGCACCAUUGCACUCCAGCCUGGCUGACAAGAACGAAACUCUUGUCUCAAAAAAAAAAAAAGAAAAGAAAAGAAAGACAAGUCCUCACAUGGUGGCUUCUUGAUGGAGGACAGGGCGGGGCCCUUCCUGAGGCCAUGCUGUCCAGGGAAAUGUUCUACUCUGCUGGAAAUGUCCUCCAGCAGCACUGUCCGACAGGGGUGUCACUGUGGCUCUUGAGCACUUGCACUAUGACUAGUGUGACCAAAGAUCUGAACAUUUUAAAGUUUAUUUUUAUUAAUUUUAAUUUAGAUUUCAAUUACCACACGUGGCUAGUGGCUACCAAAUUGGGCAAUCCCACUUUACAAACUAUAUGUUGAUCUGAAUUAAGACUGAGCUUUGGCUGGGCAUGGUGCCUCAUGCCUGUAAUACCAGCACUUUGGGAGGCCGAGGCGGGCAGAUCGCCUGAGGUCAGGGGUUUGAGGCCAGCCUGGGCAACAUGGCGAAACCCCGACUCUACUAAAAAUACAAAAAUUAGCUGGGCGUGGUAGCAGGUGCCUGUAAUUCCAGCUACUCAGGAGGCUGAGGCAGGAGAAUCCUUGAAACCGAAGGUGGAAACUGCAGUGAGCCGAGAUCGCACCACUGCACUCCAGCCUAGGCAACAAGAGCGAAACUCCAUCUCAAAAAAAAAAAAAAGAAGAAGAAGACUGAGAUUUGCAUAGGGAAAAUAGAAACCUCAGUGUCUUGAGGAAGAAGGGGUCAAUCCCAGUCCCUCAUCAGAUCCAGUCGUGGUAGAGUGACGGCUCAUCUCUGGAAGCUCAACCUCCAUGUUUCCUCCCAGGACCUCACUCUACUCCUGGAGGGAGCCAUGCUCUGUCCUGCCUGGCCCAGGCUGGGCUCUCUGUCUAGAGGAGUCUCCAUCCUCUCUCCCCAGCCCAUUGACCUGGCUAACUCCUACUCAUCCUCAAGGUCUCAGCUGACAAAUUACUCUCACCAGGAAGCUGUCUCUGUCCCCUUGGCUGGGUCCACAGAGCACACCACCCUCUCUUUUGUAACACUCAGCACAAUUGUAACUAACAAUGUGUGAGCUGCUUGCACAGUGGCCAUCUCCUCUGCUUUCCUUGGGGACAGGCACAUACAUGUCUGCCUUGUCCAUCUCUGUAUCCUGAGCACCUAGCUCAGAGCUUAAUGCAUAUUAGAUUCUCAAGAAAUAUUUGUCUAAUGAAUGAAUCAGUCAAUUGAGCCAAAAAAUGGAAAUGCCAAAAGUUAAAUUCUCUGUAGUUCUUCUUGGACCUAGAUCAUGGGAAGAUAAAGUUUUUCUUUAAAGGACCAGAUACAGUGGUUCACACCUGUAAUCCCAGCACUUUGGGAAUCCGAGGCGGGUGGAUCACGAGGUCAGGAAAUCAAGACCAUCCUGGCUAACACGGUGAAACCCCAUCUCUAUCAAAAUACAAAAAAAUUAGCCAGGCACGGUGGCGGGCGCCUGUAGUCCCAGCAACUUGGAAGGCUGAGGCAGCAGAACGGCGUGAACCCGGGAGGCGGAGCUUGCAGUGAGCCGAAAUCGCACCACUGCACUCCAGCUUGGGCAACAGAGCGAGACUCCGUCUCAAAAAAAUAAAAAUAAAGUAC